CCAGAGACUUGGCAGGUAGAGACAGGGUGCGACUGGGAGAGACAUAUCUCAUUUCUUCCGGGCCUUUGCUCAAAUGUUUCCUUAUCAGAGGGCUUUCCCUUCAGACUUAGCCUGGAGGCACUCUGGAGACCUAUUAGGAGAGCUGGAAGAAGCCCCAUCCUGCCAAGUGCCUCCUCCGCUCCUGCAGCUUCUGAAGUCCCUGUUCUCAAUCUGCUGCACAGCAUUGAACUCCACAUCUGUUUGUCUUCACGUUCCUCAGCACCUUUCCUUUGUCUGAAUCCUGUAAGACCAUCAACUACAGACUAGUGAUGUUGCCUACCAGAAGUCCCUGCUUUAGGACCUAGAAUAUUAGGGUCUUAAAUCUUAUCUAGGGCCUUGCCACUACAGGAACUCAUUAAAAAUGCAUUUUGGGUCCCACCCCA